rnacentral:rRNA from 1 species
GUAAUGUCUGGGAAACUGCCUGAUGGAGGGGGAUAACUACUGGAAACGGUAGCUAAUACCGCAUAACGUCUUCGGACCAAAGUGGGGGACCUUCGGGCCUCACGCCAUCGGAUGUGCCCAGAUGGGAUUAGCUAGUAGGUGGGGUAAUGGCUCACCUAGGCGACGAUCCCUAGCUGGUCUGAGAGGAUGACCAGCCACACUGGAACUGAGACACGGUCCAG